AUUGAACGCUGGCGGAAUGCUUUACACAUGCAAGUCGAGCGGCAGCACGGGGGCAACCCUGGUGGCGAGCGGCGAACGGGUGAGUAAUACAUCGGAACAUGCCCAGUCGUGGGGGAUAACACUUCGAAAGAAGUGCUAAUACCGCAUACGUCCUGAGGGAGAAAGCGGGGGAUCGCAAGACCUCGCGCGAUUGGAGUGGCCGAUGUCAGAUUAGCUAGUUGGUGGGGUAAAGGCCUACCAAGGCAACGAUCUGUAGCUGGUCUGAGAGGAUGAUCAGCCACACUGGGACUGAGACACGGCCCAGACUCCUACGGGAGGCAGCAGUGGGGAAUUUUGGACAAUGGGGGCAACCCUGAUCCAGCCAUUCCGCGUGAGUGAAGAAGGCCUUCGGGUUGUAAAGCUCUUUCGGCAGGAACGAAACGGUGAGCUUUAACAUAGCUCGCUAAUGACGGUACCUGAAGAAGAAGCACCGGCUAACUACGUG
rnacentral:rRNA from 1 species